AAUACCAUCUUCAGUUUUUUUUUCCUUUUUUUUUUAAUGAGCAGUUUAAUGGAAAAUAAUUGCUCCAGGUACAGGUCUUCUAAUCUAUGGGUGCCAACAUUCUAUGUAUGGUCAUGGAAAUACAUAUGUAAACUUGAUACACUGACAAGUCAUUUCCUAUGACAUUUUGCCAAUCAAAAUAAAGUAAAAUGAAGAAAAUUGUUUAGAAAAUCUGGAUCUUGUUUCCUUAAGGUGUAUGUAGGAGGAAGCAGUAGGAGGCAGGAGGCAUUUUCAUUUUUAUUUUACUGCACCAGUGUUUGGAGCUCAGCAGCUGAGAUGGGGUGAGUAACACAUGAGCUUUGAUGAGCAAUUGUGGACACAGCCCUUUUUGCCAACAUCUCACUCAUUACCUUUUCCCUCCACUUUUUUUUUUUUUUUUUUUUGCCAAACCACCCUACU
rnacentral:lncRNA from 10 species